rnacentral:rRNA from 1 species
GACGAACCGUGCAAACGUUGUUCGGAUUCACUGGGCUUAAAGGGUGCGUAGGCGGACGGUCAAGUCAGGGGUGAAAUCCUCCCGCUUAACGGGAGAAGUGCCUUUGAUACUGGCCGUCUCGAGGGAGGUAGGGGCAUGUGGAACUUCCGGUGGAGCGGUGAAAUGCGUAGAUAUCGGAAGGAACGCCGGUGGCGAAAGCGGCUUACUGGCCCGUAUCUGACGCUGAUGUGCGAAAGCUAGGGGAGCAAACGGG